rnacentral:misc_RNA from 1 species
UACGAAGGGGGCUAGCGUUGUUCGGAAUUACUGGGCGUAAAGCGCGCGUAGGCGGAUCAUUAAGUCGGGGGUGAAAUCCCGGGGCUCAACCUCGGAAUUGCCUCUGAUACUGGUGAUCUUGAGUCCGUGAGAGGUGAGUGGAACUCCGAGUGUAGAGGUGAAAUUCGUAGAUAUUCGGAAGAACACCAGUGGCGAAGGCGGCUCACUGGCACGGUACUGACGCUGAGGUGCGAAAGCGUGGGGAGCAAACAGG